GAUUUCAACAAUCCCAAUGUUUGAGAGUCAGUAGCAAAGACAUUGUAAAGGUAUGGUGAUCUGCCAAUGGAACAACCCCACUGAAGAAGAAAACAGAAUGUGCCAUGGGCUAGGAGUCAGCUUCGCCUGCUGAAGAGCAGCCUGAAGGAGGAGAAGGCAGAGUGCCUCCACCUGCAGCUGAUCAGCCUUCAAGGACACAGAGGAGAAGGACCUGAUGAGAACCAGCUGACUUCAGCCUUAAGCAGAGCUUCCAGCAGCAGUCAGAUGCUGAAGACAAUGCUUGUAGUUCCUGGCAUUGCCUUGCUGUUGCCUGCUCAUCUUGACCCACUGAUCAUUGGAUGACCUGACCUCUGGACUGUUUGACCAUGCGGAUUGCUGUUCACUCAACCCUAGGACUGGACCUGACUUCAUAAACUGACUCAGCCUCCAGAUAAAUUUCUGCCAUUCACUUGACAAGGGACUUCCCUGAAGAAUAAGCUGCAGCUGGGGAAGAAUAUUGCGAUCAGUUUUAAAGGAAAAAGCAGGAAUGGCUAACCUUCAGCCCUCCAGGUCUUGCUGUACAGCACCUCCCCAACCAUUGCCUAUGCUGGCUAAGACUGAUGAGAGCUGGAUUCCAACAUCUGGAGAGCCACAGGUGUGCAGUCCAACUUUAAGGAAUGUUCAGAGCACUUCCCAUGCGUAAUCGUGUUGCAAUCCUAACAAUAGCCUGCAAAGUAGAUCAGUAUUAUCCUAACGCUGCAGCUGAGUAUGAAGUUCUGAGGCCAACAGAUUGUGAUUUGUUUAAGCCACAAUCCUAGUGAGGUCAUGACCAAGGUGAAAUUUGAAUUGGGGGGGGGGGCGCUUCCUGAUUUUGCAACUCAGUUAUCUUAUUUUUGUAUAACUGUCUGACAUGGCCGUAGUUCUGAAGUUGCUAUACAAUUGUCUUAGGGUGGAAGGCUUCUUUAGCAUAUACUUACUGAUUGC